UACGUAGGGGGCAAGCGUUGUCCGGAAUCAUUGGGCGUAAAGAGCGCGCAGGCGGUCGUUCAAGUCGAGUGUGAAAGCCCCCGGCUCAACCGUGGAGGGUCAUUGGAAACUGGGGGACUUGAGUACAGAAGAGGAAAGGCGGAAUCCAAGUGUAGCGGUGAAAUGCGUAGAGAUUUGGAGGAACACCAGUGGCGAAGGCGGCGUCCUGGACCAACACUGACACUGAGGAGCGAAAGCCAGGGGAGCAAACGGG
rnacentral:rRNA from 1 species